UACGGAGGGAGCUAGCGUUGUUCGGAAUUACUGGGCGUAAAGCGUACGUAGGCGGUUAUUCAAGUCAGAGGUGAAAGCCCGGGGCUCAACUCCGGAAUUGCCUUUAAGACUGCAUCGCUAGAAUUGUGGAGAGGUAAGUGGAAUUCCGAGUGUAGAGGUGAAAUUCGUAGAUAUUCGGAAGAACACCAGUGGCGAAGGCGACUUACUGGACACAUAUUGACGCUGAGGUGCGAAAGCGUGGGGAGCAAACAGG
rnacentral:rRNA from 1 species